AUUGAACGCUGGCGGGAUGCCUAACACAUGCAAGUCGAACGAGUGGCGGACGGGUGAGUAAUGUCUGGGAACCUGCCUGAUGGCGGGGGAUAACUACUGGAAACGGUAGCUAAUACCGCAUACCAUCAGAUGUGCCCAGAUGGGAUUAGCUAGUUGGUGGGGUAACGGCUCACCAAGGCGACGAUCCCUAGCUGGUCUGAGAGGACGACCAGCCACACUGGGACUGAGACACGGUCCAGACUCCUACGGGAGGCAGCAGUGGGGAAUAUUGCACAAUGGGCGAAAGCCUGAUCCAGCCAUGCCGCGUGUAUGAAGAAGGCCUUCGGGUUGUAAAGUACUUUCGGCAGAGAAGCGUUACCCGCAGAAGAAGCACCGGCUAACUACGUGCCAGCCGCCGCGGUAAUAC
rnacentral:rRNA from 1 species